rnacentral:rRNA from 1 species
UGGGCGUAAAGGGCUCGCAGGCGGUUUCUUAAGUCUGAUGUGAAAGCCCCCGGCUCAACCGGGGAGGGUCAUUGGAAACUGGGGAACUUGAGUGCAGAAGAGGAGAGUGGAAUUCCACGUGUAGCGGUGAAAUGCGUAGAGAUGUGGAGGAACACCAGUGGCGAAGGCGACUCUCUGGUCUGUAACUGACGCUGAGGAGCGAAAGCGUGGGGAGCGAACAGGAUUAGAUACCCUGGUAGUCCACGCCGUAAACGAUGAGUGCUAAGUGUUAGGGGGUUUCCGCCCCUUAGUGCUGCAGCUAACGCAUUAAGCACUCCGCCUGGGGAGUACGGUCGCAAGACUGAAACUCAAAGGAAUUGACGGGGGCCCGCACAAGCGGUGGAGCAUGUGGUUUAAUUCGAAGCAACGCGAAGAACCUUACCAGGUCUUGACAUCCUCUGACAAUCCUAGAGAUAGGACGUCCCCUUCGGGGGCAGAGUGACAGGUGGUGCAUGGUUGUCGUCAGCUCGUGUCGUGAGAUGUUGGGUUAAGUCCCGCAACGAGCGCAACCCUUGAUCUUAGUUGCCAGCAUUCAGUUGGGCACUCUAAGGUGACUGCCGGUGACAAACCGGAGGAAGGUGGGGGAUGACGUCAAAUCAUCAUGCCCCUUAUGACCUGGGCUACACACGUGCUACAAUGGACAGAACAAAGGGCAGCGAAACCGCGAGGUUAAGCCAAUCCCACAAAUCUGUUCUCAGUUCGGAUCGCAGUCUGCAACUCGACUGCGUGAAGCUGGAAUCGCUAGUAAUCGCGGAUCACCAUGCCGCGGGUGAAUACGUUCCCGGGCCUUGUACACACCGCCCGUCACACCACGGAGAGUUUGUAACACCCGAAGUCCGGUGAGGUAACCUUUUAGGAGCCAGCCGCCGAAGGUGGGACAGAUGAUUGGGGUGA